UACGGAGGGUGCAAGCGUUAUCCGGAUUUACUGGGUUUAAAGGGUGCGUAGGUGGGUAGGUAAGUCAGUGGUGAAAUCUUCGAGCUUAACUCGGAAACUGCCAUUGAUACUAUUUAUCUUGAAUACUUUGGAGGUAAGCGGAAUAUGUCAUGUAGCGGUGAAAUGCUUAGAUAUGACAUAGAACACCAAUUGCGAAGGCAGCUUACUACACAGUCAUUGACACUGAGGCACGAAAGCGUGGGGAGUCAAACAGGA
rnacentral:rRNA from 1 species